UGACUGUCAGGCCACCUUAAGCCACAGUACGGAAGAAGCUGUGCUGCCUGUGAGCCCCGUCCAAGGACGUUAAAAGAAGAAGUCAGGCCCCAAAGCCACGGUUUGAGCAAACCGUGCUGCCUGUAGCUCCGUCGUGGGGACGUAAAACCUGGGAGGCUGCAAACUGUGGAAGCUGUACGCACAGUGUAGCAGACUAGUGGUUAGAGGAGACCCCUCCCAUGACACAACGCAGCAGCGGGGCCCGAGCACUGAGGGAAGCUGU
rnacentral:lncRNA from 1 species